GGGCCGUUAGCUCAGUUGGCAGAGCAGUGGGCUUUUAACCCAUCGGUCGCAGGUUCGAGCCCUGCACGGCCCA
rnacentral:tRNA from 2 species